AAAUAUAGAGGACAGACCAGACUGUGUAGCCAUUAAUUUUAUUUGUAUAUAUAUAUUAUGUGUAUGUUAUUGUUAUUUAUUAUUAGUUUUGUUGUAUUUAAUGAUUCUUAAGAUUUUUAUUUUUUUUUUUCAUUUUUAAAAUUAUUUAAUAACAAUAUUAACGACCUCCCAGUAGGUGAGACUACCCCCCUAAAUUUUAACCAU
rnacentral:rRNA from 1 species